CUAAGGAUGCGCAACGAUCGAACAAAGGUGAAAGAGGUGUCUUCCGAAGUAUCAAAGUAUAUCCACUGGAACCAAAUGACAAGAGACUUAAUUAUGAACCACCUACAGAUUUACUUAGCAAGCUGUCCCUGGUUUCUGAAGUGAAAAAACCUGCAAAACUGCCAUCUAAGGUGCAGCCAAUUU